rnacentral:snoRNA from 2 species
CCCCUCUCAGGAUUGGCAUCUGGAGAGUUUCCAGUAUUCUACCAGUCUCGGCUAAGGGAGGGACAGUGAAGCAGAGGCAUACUCAUUCCAUUCCUAGCUUGGGCAGUGACUAGUGAGUGGAUGGUAAUCUGCUACAAAU